GGGGGGGGGGGGGGGGGGGCGGGGGAGGGGGGGGGGGGAGGGGGGGGGGGGGGUGGGGGGGGGUGCUCGAGGGGCGAACGGGUGGGGAACGCGUGAGUAACCUGCCCUUGACUUUGGGAGAACUUCAGGAAACUGGGGCUAAUACCGGAUAGGAGCUCCUGCUGCAUGGUGGGGGGUGGAAAGUUUCGGCGGUUGGGGAUGGACUCGCGGCUUAUCAGCGUGUUGGUGGGGUAGUGGCUUACCAAGGCUUUGACGGGUAGCCGGCCUGAGAGGGUGACCGGCCCCAUUGGGACUGAGAUACGGCCCAGACUCCUACGGGAGGCAGCAGUGGGGAAUAUUGCACAAUGGGCGGAAGCCUGAUGCAGCAACGCCGCGUGCGGGAUGACGGCCUUCGGGUUGUAAACCGCUUUCGCCUGUGACGAAGCGUGAGUGACGGUAAUGGGUAAAGAAGCACCGGCUAACUACGUG
rnacentral:rRNA from 1 species